rnacentral:rRNA from 1 species
GAUGAACGCUGACAGAAUGCUUAACACAUGCAAGUCAACUUGAAUUUGGGUUUUUAACUUAGAUUUGGGUGGCGGACGGGUGAGUAACGCGUAAAGAACUUGCCUCACAGCUAGGGACAACAUUUAGAAAUGAAUGCUAAUACCUGAUAUUAUGAUUUUAAGGCAUCUUAGAAUUAUGAAAGCUAUAAGCACUGUGAGAGAGCUUUGCGUCCCAUUAGCUAGUUGGAGAGGUAACAGCUCACCAAGGCGAUGAUGGGUAGCCGGCCUGAGAGGGUGAACGGCCACAAGGGGACUGAGACACGGCCCUUACUCCUACGGGAGGCAGCAGUGGGGAAUAUUGGACAAUGGACCGAGAGUCUGAUCCAGCAAUUCUGUGUGCACGAUGAAGUUUUUCGGAAUGUAAAGUGCUUUCAGUUGGGAAGAAAAAAAUGACGGUACCAACAGAAGAAGUGACGGCUAAAUACGUGCCAGCAGCCGCGGUAAUACGUAUGUCACGAGCGUUAUCCGGAUUUAUUGGGCGUAAAGCGCGUCUAGGUGGUUAUGUAAGUCUGAUGUGAAAAUGCAGGGCUCAACUCUGCAUUGCGUUGGAAACUGUAUAACUAGAGUACUGGAGAGGUAAGCGGAACUACAAGUGUAGAGGUGAAAUUCGUAGAUAUUUGUAGGAAUGCCGAUGGGGAAGCCAGCUUACUGGACAGAUACUGACGCUAAAGCGCGAAAGCGUGGGUAGCAAACAGG